AAAAUAAAUAAAUACAAUAAAAUACAUAAAAUCAUCCCUUGAAUUAGGCAUUUAGAACCCACUUUUUGGCCACUGGUUAUCUUUUAGAAGUCUCGCAUAACAACCUAAUCUUCAUUCCCUCUUCCUCCCAAAUGUCUAUUUUUAUGGAAUAAGAGAUUGAGAGACCUUCAGACAGACAGACAAAUAGGCAGAUGCUACUAUCAACUAGAUAUUCACUUAAUAACCCAAAUAAACUAACAUAUAAAAAAGAUUGAAAUUUCAGUUUCACCAAGAGAAAUAUGCACUUUAAAAGGAAUUCUUAAUGCAAAGUAAGCUUUAUUUUAUGAGACAAUUGAGCCAAAUGUUUUGUCUUGUUGGAGUCCUUACCUACUCUGAAUUGUCCUUCUUCAACAUCACCAACUUCAACCACCCCAAACAGCCCACACAACUCUUCAAUAUGAUAUUCACAUCAGCAGAUUCCAAAAAUAAAAUCAGUUUGACAUUCCAAUCAUGUACUAUCCACACACUAUUUUUGACCUGUACAGCAUACCACUGUACUGAAUACUGUGGGCAAUUGUGACACAAUGGUGAGCAUUUGUGUAACUAAACAUGUCUAUACAUAGAAAAAGGUACAGUGAAAAGAUGGUAUUACACUCUACGGAACCACCACUGUGUAUGCAGUAUAUUGUUGACUGAGACGUCGUUACGCAGCACAUGACUGCAUAUAAAAAGCCAAAUUGCUACUAAUUUCAGAAUAUAAAAAAUCCCUAUAACUCAUUAAAAAAUCGCCAAACAGAAAAUAAGGGCACAGGGAUAAAUUUUAUAUACAAAUGCAAAAAUUAAACAAAAAAUACAAGAAUGUACAACUCUGUGUAAUAAAUAAAGAUUUAAAAUUUUAAUGAAGAAUUAAAGGCAAUACCACAUAUCUCUUAAAAGCACACAUUCUGGAGACAGAGAAUGUGGAUUCAAGUACUGUCUCAACCAGUUAGUAUGGCACCAUUUCUGCAUUAAAAAAAUAUAUAUAUAUAUAUAUAUUUUGGAUCUGUUUCCUCAUCUGUAAAAUUGAAAUGAUAAUAUAAUCUGUCUGUGGUAGCCAGCCUCCAGGAUUGCCCCAAAUAACUCUUACAUGCUGGUAUUCAUGCCUGUGCUGUUCCCUCCUACAUAGCAGAAUGGGGAUGAACCAUAUAACCAUUAGGAUAUUGCAGAAUAACAAAGUGUGAUAUCUAAGGCUAUGCCGUAAAAGGCAUUGUGACUUUGCCUUGCUCUCUUUUGGAUCAUCUGCCCUGGGAAAAGCCAGCUGCCACAUCAUGAGGAUGCUCGAGCAGCCCAGAGGAAAGGUCCACAUGUAAGAAACCAAGAUCUCCUACCAAUAGCCAGCACCAACUUGGGAGCCAUGAAGAAGAGAAAGACAGUAAAAGGCUUGAGGAGUUAACAAUUGCCAAAUGCUAUGGUUUGAAUGCUGUCCCCUCCAAAACUCAUGUUAAAAUUUAAUUGCCAUUGUACCACACUAAAAGGUCUCCAAAAUGGCCCAGCAAAAUCGCCCUCGUUUUAUGCUUACAAAUUUUGUGUGAGCUGCCAGACUGUAAACAUACUUAAACCAAUGAGUUGAUUCAUAACAGUUUAUUGGCUCAGCUGCCCCUAUGGAAUAUUGCCAAACUAAUUACGAGAAUAUUCAAAUGUAGUCUAGUAUUACCAAAAAUGGAAUUGUAUAACACUUCUGUGAAGUCAAGUUUUAAAAUUUUAUUUAAAAUAACAUAUGUUUGAGAGUGUAAACAAUUUUUGCUUAACUUCUUUAUACUUCACUAGAGAACAGAGAAGAAAGAUAACAUAUAUUUUUAAUGAUUCAAAUAUUGAGUGCUUGCUUUUGCUUGAGUCUGCAUUAAAAGCCGAUCUCUGAUUAUAGUUAAAAUGUAUAUUUCUUAAUUCAAAUAUAUAUUUUCUAGACCUAAACUACCAAAAAAGUCUCCUACUGUGCUUCCAGGUCUUUUGUUUGUCCUUUUAACAUAAUGUACUCAUAAGGGCAGUAUUCAUAUUCUUUAAACACAGCUCAACCUCAGGUUCGAAAAGCUGCGGGAUUCUCACUGUUUAAAGAAACCUCUAUAACCUGUAGUUUGAUAGAUUAUUAUAAUAGCUGCCAACAAAUGAAGUCUUCAUAUGUUCUACAAACCCUUCUUUUGCAAUAUAAUAUUCCUGUACCACCCAUCAAGAUAUGAAGUCUAUGUCUUCAGGUCCUUCAAUCUGAACUGGACUAAUGACUUGCUUUGACCAAUAAAUAUGACAAAAGUGACAUUAUGUGGUUGCAGAUGCUAAGCCUUAAGAGACAUUGCAGCUCUUUUUUCUCAUUUACUUGAUACCCUGAGACCACCACACUGUGAAGAUGGUGGUACAGUCUACUAGAGGAUGAGAGGCCAUGUGAAAGAGAACUAAGAUGUCCUACUUGGUUCUCUUCCAAUUGCCAGACAUAAUAGUAGGGCCAUCUUACAUCCUCCAUUUCUCCUCAGGCCAUUACUGAAGUUGAAAGAGUAAUUACAGGUAAGACUGGAAGAAAAUCUGCC
rnacentral:lncRNA from 10 species